GGGGUCGUAGCUCAGCUGGGAGAGCACCUGCCUUGCACGCAGGGGUCAGGAGUUCGAUCCUCCUCGGCUCCACCA
rnacentral:tRNA from 1 species